rnacentral:rRNA from 1 species
ACUGCUCAGUAACACGUGGAUAACCUGCCCUUGGGUCCGGCAUAACCCCGGGAAACUGGGGAUAAUUCCGGAUAACGCACAUAUGCUGGAAUGCUUUAUGCGUAAAAUGGAUUCGUCUGCCCAAGGAUGGGUCUGCGGCCUAUCAGGUAGUAGUGGGUGUAAUGUACCUACUAGCCAACAACGGGUACGGGUUGUGAGAGCAAGAGCCCGGAGAUGGAUUCUGAGACAUGAAUCCAGGCCCUACGGGGCGCAGCAGGCGCGAAAACUUUACAAUGCGGGAAACCGUGAUAAGGGGACACCGAGUGCCAGCAUCAUAUGCUGGCUGUCCAGGUGUGUAAAAUACACCUGUCAGCAAGGGCCGGGCAAGACCGGUGCCAGCCGCCGCGGUAACACCGGCGGCCCGAGUGGUGAUCGUGAUUAUUGGGUCUAAAGGGUCCGUAGCCGGUUUGGUCAGUCCUCCGGGAAAUCUGACGGCUCAACCGUUAGGCUUUCGGGGGAUACUGCCAGGCUUGGAACCGGGAGAGGUAAGAGGUACUACAGGGGUAGGAGUGAAAUCUUGUAAUCCCUGUGAGACCACCUGUGGCGAAGGCGUCUUACCAGAACGGGUUCGACGGUGAGGGACGAAAGCUGGGGGCACGAACCGGAUUAGAUACCCGGGUAGUCCCAGCCGUAAACGAUGCUCGCUAGGUGUCAGGCAUGGCGCGACCGUGUCUGGUGCCGCAGGGAAGCCGUGAAGCGAGCCACCUGGGAAGUACGGCCGCAAGGCUGAAACUUAAAGGAAUUGGCGGGGGAGCACA